AUACGGAGGGUGCAAGCGUUAUCCGGAAUCAUUGGGGUUAAAGGGUCCGUAGGCGGACUAUUAAGUCAGAGGUGAAAUCCCACAGCUCAACUGUGGAACUGCCUUUGAUACUGGUAGUCUUGAGUUAUAUGGAAGUAGAUAGAAUGUGUAGUGUAGCGGUGAAAUGCAUAGAUAUUACACAGAAUACCGAUUGCGAAGGCAGUCUACUACGUAUAUACUGACGCUAAGGGACGAAAGCGUGGGGAGCGAACAGGAUUAGAAACCCUUGUAGUCC
rnacentral:rRNA from 1 species